CCCUGCCUUUUGUACACACCGCCCGUCGCACCUACCGAUUGAAUGGUCCGGUGAACUCUUCGGACUGCCAGAUUCAAUUCCGGCAUAAGUUGAAUGAACCUUACCAUUUAGAGGAAGGUGAAGUCGUA
rnacentral:rRNA from 1 species